rnacentral:rRNA from 1 species
GACGUAGGGCGCGAGCGUUGUCCGGAUUUAUUGGGCGUAAAGAGCUCGUAGGCGGCUCAUUGCGUCAACCGUGAAAACCAGCAGCUCAACUGUUGGCUUGCGGUUGAUACGGGUGGGCUGGAGUUCGGUAGGGGAGACUGGAAUUCCUGGUGUAGCGGUGAAAUGCGCAGAUAUCGGGAGGAACACCGGUGGCGAAGGCGGUUCUCUGGGCCUUACCUGACGCUGAGGAGCGAAAGCGUGGGGAGCGAACAGG